CUUGAAAAUUGAUCGCGAAAAGGUGUACUAUCCAAAUUCUGUUUUGGCUACCAAGCCCAUCAGCAACUUCUACAGAAGCUCGCCUAUGGGUGAUAAUGUGGAGUUCUCUAUUGCAUUUGCAACCACAGCAGAAAAGAUCGGGGCUCUAAAAGAAAGAAUAGCAAAGUAAGUCUUUUCUCCUAUUGACUAGGGUAUCAAAUUUAGGUUUGUUGGUAUUUUUCUCUCAUUCUGGGGUGUAAUGCAACAUGAAUUUUUUUAUUUUUAUUUUUUUCUGAUAGACAUCCUGCCAAAAAAAUUGAUUGAGCUAAUAACUUUGAAACAACAUGAGUUUUUUUUUUCCCUUCCAAACAAAUCAGUUCCACCACCUUCAUCCAAGCUAGACCCGAUAUGGUUCAUUCUACUUAUUUGCCCUUGUAUAAAAUUCAAAUUCGGCCUAGGGAAAUUGAACUACUAACAUUGUGGUUGCCCUACUCUUUUUCUCAUCUAGGAAAACAUCUUUGAAAGAGGUAGUAUGUCUGAAAAAUCGCAAAAUUUACCUUGUUUUUACAAUUGAUUCCUAGACUCCUAUGUAUGUGCAAUCUGAAAGAUUGAUCUAAGACUCUGGAUACUGGCCUAGUAUCCAUCAAAAUGAGGAAUACCAGCCUUGACAGGAGCAGCCAAUGGAUCCACAAAAGGAGUGCUAUGCAUUCUGAAUACAUUUUGAUGUAAUUAUACUACUCAAUUUGGAAAUUUUCUUAUCAAUUUCUUUUGCCAGGUACCUGGAGAGAAAUCCCCAAUACUGGUUUCCUGCCCACACUCUGGUAGUAAAGGAGAUUGAGAAUGUCAACAAGAUCAAGAUGACUCUAUUUGUCAAUCACACCAUCAACUUCCAAGACUAUCCAGAG
rnacentral:lncRNA from 1 species